rnacentral:rRNA from 1 species
GUAGUCAUAUGCUUGUCUCAAAGAUUAAGCCAUGCAUGUCUAAGUAUAAGCAAUUAUACAGCGAAACUGCGAAUGGCUCAUUAUAUAAGUUAUCGUUUAUUUGAUAGUACCUUACUACUUGGAUAACCGUGGUAAUUCUAGAGCUAAUACAUGCUAAAAAUCCCGACUUCGGAAGGGAUGUAUUUAUUAGAUUAAAAACCAAUGCCCUCUGGGCUCCUCGGUGAUUCAUGAUAACUUCUCGAAUCGCAUGGCCUUGUGCCGGCGAUGGUUCAUUCAAAUUUCUUCCCUAUCAACUUUCGAUGUUUGGGUAGUGGCCAAACAAGGUUGCAACGGGUAACGGGGAAU